UGCGUAGGGUGCAAGCGUUAAUCGGAAUUACUGGGCGUAAAGCGUGCGCAGGCGGCUUUGCAAGACAGAUGUGAAAUCCCCGGGCUCAACCUGGGAACUGCAUUUGUGACUGCAUGGCUAGAGUGCGGCAGAGGGGGAUGGAAUUCCGCGUGUAGCAGUGAAAUGCGUAGAUAUGCGGAGGAACACCGAUGGCGAAGGCAAUCCCCUGGGCCUGCACUGACGCUCAUGCACGAAAGCGUGGGGAGCAAACAGG
rnacentral:rRNA from 1 species